CUGGAGACCACUGAUGAACACGCUUCAGCGGAUUUUACCUUCUGUGGAUGGUCAGAAGAUCUGUGGCUUCAUCAGUGUGUUAUAUGGUCUAUGGAGACCAAUGCGAGACAGGCAUUCUGCCUCGGCCACCAGCUCUAGGCUGUCUCGGGAGCACAG